rnacentral:rRNA from 1 species
GAUGAACGCUAGCGGCAGGCUUAACACAUGCAAGUCGAGGGGCAGCGCGGGAUAGCAAUAUCCUGGCGGCGACCGGCGGAAGGGUGCGUAACGCGUGAGCGACAUGCCCGUUGCCCGGGGACAACCGGUGGAAACGCCGACUAAUCCCCGAUGGGAUAUUGUGCCGCAUGGCACGAUAUUGAAAGUUACGGCGGCGACGGAUUGGCUCGCGUCCGAUUAGCUUGUUGGCGGGGUAACGGCCCACCAAGGCUGCGAUCGGUAGGGGUUCUGAGAGGAAGGCCCCCCACAAUGGGACUGAGACACGGCCCAUACUCCUACGGGAGGCAGCAGUGAGGAAGAUUGGACAAUGGGCGGAAGCCUGAACCAGCCAUGCCGCGUGCGGGAAGGAGGCCCUAUGGGCUGUGAACCGCUUUUGCCUGGGGGCAAUAAGGGCGUCGCGCACGUCCGAUGAGAGUACCAGGCGAAUAAGCAUCGGCUAACUCCGUG